CAUACAUGCAAGUCGAACGCGAAAUUUCCCUUCGGGGAGAAAGUAGAGUGGCGCACGGGUGAGUAACACGUAGGUAAUCUACCUUUGGAUGGGGAAUAACGCAGAGAAAUCUGCGCUAAUACCGCAUAAUGCAGCGGCACCUAAUGGUGACAGUUGUUAAAGCGGGGGAUCGUAAGACCUCGCGUCUAAAGAGGAGCCUGCGGCGGAUUAGCUAGUUGGUAAGGUAAUGGCUUACCAAGGCUACGAUCCGUAACCGGCCUGAGAGGGCGGUCGGUCACACUGACACUGACAUACGGGUCAGACUCCUACGGGAGGCAGCAGUCGGGAAUUUUGGGCAAUGGGCGAAAGCCUGACCCAGCAACGCCGCCGUGAAGGAUGAAAUCCCUCGGGAUGUAAACUUCGCAAGAACGGGAAGAAUAAGUAGGGGACAAUACCCCCUAUGAUGACGGUACCGUUUGUAAGCUCCGGCUAACUCCGUGCCAGCAGCCGCGGUAAUACGGGGGGAGCAAGCGUUGUUCGGAUUUACUGGGCGUAAA
rnacentral:rRNA from 1 species